rnacentral:misc_RNA from 1 species
CUGAAUUGAAUGUAGAUAGGUCAGUUGAACUAACAGCACAGGAAGAAAUUGGAAAUAUGGGGGUUUCAAAGGUGAUCAGAGCUGACCAGAAGAAAUUCUUCUUUGAUCUUGGUAGCAACAACAGAGGUCAUUUCUUGAGAAUUUCUGAGGUUGCUGGUUCUGACAGGUCCUCCAUAAUUCUCCCACUGUCUGGGCUGAAGCAGUUUCAUGAAAUAGUGGGGCAUUUUGUGGAGAUAACAAAAGAUAGAAUUGAAGGAAUGACAGGUGCAAAUGUUCGGACUGUGGAUCCCCCACAGAGAUGAAUGUGAAUAACUCCUGGAGGCUAAUGUAUGUUGAUGAAACGUGUUAUUCAUAUUUGGUAAAAGGGGUUGCUGUGGUGCUGCAAAUAUGUGUUUGAUUAGGGGUGGGGUGCAAUUGUGCGUAGCUUGUUUCUUGUUAAAUUCUUGCCUUGUCUGACUCUUAAGUCUAGAAAUAAUCCGAUUGAUCUGUUUGCUGAACAGAAAAGUUUCGGAGAUAGUAGCCAUGAGUAGCUUUGAAUAGGGAAUAACAGAAGAAACAAAUCAGAUAUUUGUAACUGUGAGUGUGGCACCCUUGUUAUUACAUUUCAAUAAUGCCGGUUCCAUAUGUUCUUGUAUUUCAGGUCUUCUAGCUGUAAUAAUUGCGAAAAUGGCCGUUUGCUUGCAAAUAAGCAAUUUAACCCGGUAAUGAGAA